AUGUGUACAUUUUGUAUAUUCUUUCUCUCAGUGUCAAUGGACAGUGGCUCUCUAUUGAUGUCUGAGAUUGUGGAUAUUCCAGAUGACAGCUCCCCAUCUGAGGACUCCUGCCUAAUGGAAGUGGGUGUCGGUGUGCGGGCACGGCCACGGGGGAGCAGCGAGGGAGGGGAGGCGGGAGAGUACGCCAGCCUCCGUUCUUCUGCACAACAUCCUGAGGGAAUGGUGGCCUCUCCUUCCGGAAGGCAUUGUUUCAGAGGCGAGAGAUCAAACUCCUGCUCCUCCCCAAGCUCGACCAACACCUCUACCUACAGGUCUCCAGUGUUGAGGCGUCAAGCUCUGUUGGCGAGUAGCUGCUCUCAGUUGGAGUUCUUAGCAGGAUCUAAACAUUCCUCUAUCCCAGAAAUCCGAGUUCGGCCCUGCACACCCUCCCGACUGGACUCCUCAUCUGCAUUCACUAACUCACCUACCGCAGCUCAAUCAGGUCCUGCUCAAAACCGGCCGGACCACACAGUACCAGUGCUCCUUCUGCGGCCAGGUUUCCGUGAGCAAAUUGGACGUGAUAGAAAAGAGAGCGACGGCUUUUUACCUCUCUUGAGGUCACACAGUGAACCAGGACUUAGCUCUUCAACUGACACAGGUGAUUUCAGUCUCUCAGGAGGCAAUAAAGGAGUCAGUGAGGGGGGAUCGCAGACCUCAUCAGAAACAGGGGUAUCGUCUGGAGCUGGUUUGCUGCCUCGCUCUUCUUUGGCACUUCCUGCUUCCCUGCCCAGAAAAGGUAGCAUUAAGGCUGUAAGUACCCGGUUGCCCUCAAAACAAGUCCCAGCCACCUCGCUGCGUUUACCCAAAGACUGUGCACGCUCACUUGGAGACCUCAAGGUCACCAAAGUUUUAGUGCAACGUUUCCUGCAGAGAUCCAAACGUAACUUAGCCCUUGCAAAUGAACAUGCUGGAAACUGUACUCAGGGGCCUAAAAGGAGGACAGGAAGUGAAGGCCUGCCGUUAGAACAGGUGCUUCGUAACUCUCUGGGGGCCAACAGGGGGCAGCAGCAACACGUCCACCACCACUGCCGUGGACACCAUCACUCCCAUAGUGACAGUCGCCAUAAUGCCCGUCGCCAUGAUGAUGACCCUGUAAGGGCCGGGGGAAUCCACUUGCGUAGCUGCGGAGACCUCAACUCGACAUCCAUUGCAUCACUGCGCAGACUCCACCCACUGUCACACGGAUCAUCAGGGGCUCUUUACUCAGAAUCUGCCCUCUGAAAUGGGGCAGGGGUUCUGGAAUAAAUCACUCCUGGAUUCAGGAGAGGGGGCA
ensembl:lncRNA